UCAAACCACACCUUGACACCUGUGACUCUUGUCUUCUCAGAGUGUCUUUGGGGGGAAUGUACAUCACACGUCCAUCCCUGAAGGUGGGACGCUACAAGAUGGUCAAACACAAGCUGGACAAAGGCAAUGAUGUCAACCCGAACAGGUUCACCAUGCUCACCAAGACGCGUAACACGUGGAAACAGGACGGGAUGAACACGGCCGAGUACGAGGUCCUCUCCCGGGAGUACCUGCCCCUCUACACCAACAUCACGGUCAACAUCGGCACUGAGGCCGGCCUGCAUCCGCCUCUUCAGACCGCUGCCAAACCUGCAAAAUAAUAUUUUCUCACAUUCUGGCCUUACUUGCUGGCAGUUUUGUUCUUGUCAGGAUGGAAGCAACUACCAGAAGGUGAGACAAUUAUUCUUAUUAGCAGCCAAAAUGGACUCCUAGCUAUACCGCAUAUAUCAAAUGAUAUUUAUAGCUGUAUCGUAUACAUCAAAUGAUAUUCAUAGCUAUACCGCAUAUAUCAAAUGAUAUUUAUAGCUGUAUCGUAUACAUCAAAUUAUAUUUAUAGCGUUACCGUAUAUAUCAAAUGAUAUUUCUAGCUGUAUCGUAUAUAUCAAAUGAUAUUUUUAGCAGUUCUCCACUCUGCUUCCUGUGUUGUUCUUCCAAGCGAGUGUGAGACGUUGGACUCUGUGAGUUUGUAUAUCGACUGCUCAAACCCGGUGAUGCCUUCGAAUGUCCUCGGCUCAUAUCUUGCAUGUUUUUUUUUUGUUUGUUUUUUAUUGGAGUCAUUUUGCCUUCUUUUUUUUUUCGAAACAUGUGAACACACCGAAAGAUUCCAGCGACACGGAACUUGUCCUUCCCCAAAAUGACGUGUUCUCGGUCUCGCUAUAAUGUUCUUAAAGGAGAAGAACUGGGAAGUUGAAAAUGUUCAACCUUGACGAAAUUCUAAAUAAAACACAUCAAUUUGAAAAAGUACCAUAAAUGCUGUAAUUAUAGCCUGAGUGAUAAUUUAAUAUAGACUGUUUUUUUGGGUUUUUUCUGAAAAUGUAUUCAAGACAAGUACCGUGAAGCCUCGAUUUACAAACUUAAUUGGUUCUUUAACAGGGUUCAUAAAUCGAAGUUUGUAUAGUGAAGCAACUUUCUCUACAAGAAACAAUGUAAAUAUGAAUAAUGUGUUCCAGCCUGGACAAAAGUCUGUAUUUUAGUGACAGCUUGUACACUUUGAACGCAAUAUAAAGUGCUAUACAGUACUGUGUAUCAAACAUAAGGAGGUGAUGGAUCAAUUUUAUCGUUAACAAGCUGAACACACAGAAAUUCCUUUGCUGCCUUCACAAACAAUCAGAAAUCACAAAAAUCCUUAACUUUUUAACAACUAUAUUGUUUAAAAAUAAAUAAAUAAAGAAAGUAAAAUCCCUUAUAUUCAUAUUGACAAGGACCUGAGGAGAAAGCAGCAGACAGAGGGAGAGAAGGAAGGGGAGAGGUCAUGUUUUUUCCCCCUUGUGAAAUAAGUCUGCUGUGGCAUGUUUUUCCAGAUGAAUCCAAGUAAAACUUGCUAUGUACGAAGCCUGCUUCAACGAUUCUUUCAUACUUGCGAGCGCCAUUAUUGUGUAUUACUUGCAAAUAGUACACAAUUUCCACCUUCUUUCCACGCCGGUUUGUCGUCCUUUUUUGGACUAAGUGAGUUGGCAAAAUGGACAAAACUUGUCAAAAGGAGAAAAAAAGGCACUGAGUAGUGUAGCAAGACACAUGGAGGGCCCGCCUCCUCACUAAAAUGCAGCGCCCUGCUUUUUUUCCUACAGGCGGGGCACAAACAGAUUGACUGAAGCGUUCGUACACAGAGACGCAGGUUUGCACACGGAGGCAUAUUUGGCUCGGUCUAAAAGUAUGUCAAUCGCAAAGUUUGCAAAUAGAUGGGUUUGUAAACCGAUUGUACCUAUUUAAAUAGGAUAAUGAUUUGGAGUGCAUGAGAAAGUGGAAAGAGAAAAUGUAGCUCUUUGACCACUUAACAGGUAGUUUGCACAACACAACUAAUGUUGUACUUGUUAAGGGCAAACUGCUCAGUCAGCGUUAAUAGUGCUGAUGAGUAGUUGAUGUUAAAUAGAAAAUCACUCACAGAGGAUCUUAUCUCACCAUUUUGGACAUUCCCUGAAGCUUUUGUCAAUAACAUUUUGAGCGAUGUUGCUAACAAAGAGACAAAUAAUGAAGCGCUGAGCAAAGUUAGCAAGCGUCUGCAAUGCUGGGCACAACAUGGUGAUCCAGAUCAGCCCCAAAAUGUACUCGCUUGUUCUCUAUCCCAUUUCUGAUAUUUCCUGAAAUUUUCAUCAAAAUCCGCCUAUGACUUUUUUAAAGACUUAUGUUGCUAACUUAUAAACAUACAUAUACUUGUAACAAAUGCAGCUACUGCCAUCUUGUGUUUAUUAUAUUAUCGUCCACCUUUUAAAACACAUGCUAAUUACUUUGCUUUGGCAGCACAAACAAAUAUGUUUUGUAAUGUAAACAUAAGUUGUACACAACUCUUAAAUCGUUUUAGUUCAACUUUGACCUGAGAGCCUGCGAGUGCGAACAUUUCUCACUGUUGUUCCUCGGUCUGUGCAUGUCUUGGUCAUUUAAUUUUAUUUUCUUCAGUGGACACUGAAAAACAAAAAGUAACUGAUUUAUUUGAGAUUUAUUUUAAAAUACAAAAAGGAAAGUUGGAAACCAAAACGUUUUUCCUUUUUAGUGUCGAAGAGCAAUAACUUUUUAAAAUGUAAAAUAAAUAUAUCUUUCCCAUAUGUUAGUCGCACCGGACUAUAAGCCGCAGAUAUAUACGUAGUGAAAAGAGUUAAUUACACAGAAAUAUUUUGUGAAUGUUUAUUUACAUACCAUAAUUGUUUCUAAACGGUGUCUGUAACACGGCGGUAAAACAGCUUAUUAAAACAAAGCAGAAGUCAUCGUCAUGGACCUACGAGCUGCGCCAGCUAGCUCUCCAAUCAGCUAAACGGACUCAAUAACUCCACGGUGACGUGUAGGUAAAUUUACAAAACUGAAACAAUGCAAAAGGAAUGCAAUUGUAAGUUUAUAAUACUGUUAUUACGUGUUCGCAUAUUCGCUAAUGUUAACGACGCUAGCGUCAUUACAUUACGAUAACACAUACAAAUAUGCGUGAAAACACUCCUAUGGACGACAUCACACAUGGGAAUUGUUUUAGUUGUAAAAAAUACAAAUGUUGCUUGGGGUGAUGAAUGAUGAAUUAAUACGAAUAGAUACGCUAUGGAUGGCUGGAAGACGAAACAGCACUUCUACUUCCGGUUGAACGCACUCGAACUCGUCCAAAAGAUGGCGGCAUAGCACAAACAACACACCUGUUUAGUGUCUUUGCUUGUUUUGUGUUUUUUAAACUAUUUGCAUUAUUAUCAGCGAAGAAUAAUCCAUAAAUUAGUGCAUUGUUUUAUAAGCUGCAGGGUUCAAACUGUAGGAAAAAAGUAGCAGCUUCCAGUCCGGAGUUUACUGUAAAUAUAAAAAACGGUUUAGUUUUAAUUUUUAUUUCAUAUGAUAAACAUUCAAAUCCCUGGUAAAGAGAUUAGGAAAACAGACCAAAAAAAAUGUUUUUUCAUAUUCUGACAACAGAAGUUUUUAUUUUCAAAGUAAAAGCGGGGAUACUACAGUACCUGUGUGCUUUGCUGAAAUGUAUUUGGAGCCCUACACUGAAACUAUUUUAGACAUGGCACGACGACGACCGGCAUAUAGAGUAAUCUGUGUGCACAUAUAAAUGGAGGCUAAGAAGGAUUUAAUCACGCACCGUAUGACACUAUUAUACAGUAUUAUUUACAAGCCAGUUCGUGGUCCUGUCUUUAAAAUCACUACUUCCGGAUUCGGUGUCACAAUAUGAAAAAAAAAAACAUACCUUUUGGUCCGUCUAGGUCAGUUUUUCCUUUUCUGUUUACUGGGGAUUUUAUUUGUGUUAUACAAAAUAUUAAAUGAAAAUCAAACCAUUUUUAAAUGUUAUUGCUCAACUCUAAAAAAUUAAAACUCUUUGCUUUUUAAUUAAAUUUUCUGCAUUCUAUUAUUAAAUUCAAAUAAACCAAUCGUUUGUUUUUUUGUUUUUCAAUUUCUAUUAAUGAAAUAAAAAAGAUUAAUGACAAAAAACACACACUGACCUUCCUCCUAAGCCUCUUUGCAAUACAUCAGCAAAACUCAACUACAAACAUUACUGAUGUUUGCCAUUAAUCAAAAACAUGUAUUUAAUCCUUAGGUAAGCGGCAUUUCCUUGCUUAUACAGUGAACCUCAAUUUACGAACCCCUCUAUAUGUAAUUUUUCAAAUAUGUCUCCGUGGACAAACACUUGAUUCAGGCAAGAAAGCAGGGCGAAACAUUUUUUUGCCUUUUGACAAGUUUUGCCCAUUCUGCUAACUCGAUACGAGUCCGGAAAACUCAACAGACUGAAAAGAUUGCGUUGAGUGCAUUUAUUGCACUCACAAGCAUGACCACAGCACAGCAUAUUAAGUAACUAUGUCAAGUUUUAGUUGUGAUGAAGCCGGUCUUUUCUGGAACAAGAUGACAGAACACAUUUAUAUCACAGCGGAGAAGAAGACAGUAUAUCUCUUAGAGUUGGGGGAAAUAAUCUAUUUUUAGAUAUAUCGCAAUUCGGACAUGGACGGUUAUAAAAUCGAUUAGUAAACACCGAUAAUCGAUUUAUUUAUUGUAAAUAGUGCAGACAGUUCAAAAAAUUGUCCUGACUGCAGCAAGCCACCUCACCUACAGAUCCGACUACCUCAUUUAUUUUAGGACAAUUAUGUUUCAGUUUUGCACACAUUCUCAAUAGUUUAAUAAAUGUCGGAAUUAAUUUCACUGUUUCUUAUUAUAAAUACACUACUUUUAAAAGUUGCAAGUGAUAAAUGCCAAUUUAGUAAAACAUCAAUAACUGUAAAACUGCAUCAAUAUACUAAGAGUAGGGCUGCAACUAACGAUUAAUUUGAUAAUCGAUUAAUCUGUCGAUUAUUACUUCGAUUAAUAAUCGGAUAAAAGAGACCAACUACAUUUCUAUCCUAUCCAGUAUUUUAUUGGAAAAAAACAGCAUACUGGCACCAUACUUAUUUUGAUUAUUGUUUAUCAGCUGUUUGUACAUGUUGCAGUUUAUAAAUAAAGGUUUAUUAAAAAAAAAUAUAUAUAUAUAUAAAAAAAUAAAAUAAAAUAAAAAAGCCUCUGCGCAUGCGCAUAGCAUAGAUCCAACGAAUCGAUGACUAAAUUAAUCGGCAACUAUUUUAAUAAUAGAUUUUAAUCGAUUAGUUGUUGCAGCCCUAACUAAGAGUAAAUUAAAGAUGAAUUAAUAAUCGAUUUUUAAUUGAAGCGUAGCUCCUGAAUUGUAAUCAAAUCGCAAGGUGCCCAAAGAUUCCCACCUCUUGUAUCUCUUCUCUCUUUCUCGAGUGGCCUCUCGCUCUUCCAAAGCACAAACUCGCAGAGACGUACGGCUCCCCUCUCCCGCCCUACCCGGCCCCGUUUAUUUUCUCUCUCCCUCCUUUCUCGUCACUUCUCUGCCAUUGUUAAUGUGUGUGUGUUUUACUUUUUAAAAAUGUUUUAUUAUUGUAGCAAUAUGGUUGUUUAAGUCAAGGGUUGUUGUGAUUUUGUGGGCACCAUAGUGACUUCUAUGUGCGCGCGUUUUCAUUUUGACUUUUUUAUUACACACAGUUGAUCCAUCACCCCUUUGUUAUGUUUGUUGGAUAUACAGUACUGUAUAUCACUAUAUAUUGUGUACAAACCUUUACUAAAAUAUGGACUUUUGUCGAGGCAUUAUUCAUAUUUACAUAGUUCCUUAUGGAGAACUGUGCUUCACUAUACAAACUCUAUUUACGCACCGAUCAAGUUUGUAAAUCAAGGUUCCACUGUAUCUCAUUGUUGUGUUGACGUUUUGUCAACAAAAACCCACGAGAAAAGCAACAAUGAAAUCUGAUAAAAAGCAGGUUGAUGUUGAUGUUCAAUUUUAACAGCAACAUCAACUUUUCCAGUUCAACUUCUACUAUCCAGCCUGACCUUUUUUAUUGAUUUGGGGAAAAAGCUCCUUUAAAAAAAAAAAAAAAAAAUCUCUGUUUCGUUUUUUUGUACAUUUUGACACAUGCAAAAAGAUCCACAGUCUUUAUCCCAAGCAUGCUUAUUCAGUGUUCUACAUGUCAUUACAAUGUUCCGGAUGUUUACUGUACAACUUGUGGACAUUUGUUAUAAUGUUAAAACACAACUUUUAUUUUAUUUCACUUAAAAAAUGUAUAUAUUUUGUUUGAGGGAUCUUUUCUACUUGCUUCUACUUUGGGUCGCGUGUUUAACGUUGAAUAUCCUUCCUUCCAUAUCUUAUCUUUAUUCAAAAAAAGGGGAUAACUGUUACCGUGAUCGGAUCUUCUUUUUCUUCAACCCGCAAAAACUACCACGAUGUGUGUAUUCAUCGUUAAGAAAAAGCUCCUCAGUUGAAAGUGAAACCAAAGAUGACUUCACGCUUCUUCUCCACGGUGACUCCUUUUCGAUUGCUUUGGUCUUUUCAGCCAACCUGAGUUUCUGAUGACAUGCAGGGCACACAGCACUACUUCUUUGAUGCCGUUAGUGACGCGUGCUUGAGACUAAUGAACACAACAAGAAGCCAAAGUGCAGAUUUCUUUUUUUUAUUAAGUUGUUUUUAGCAUUAUUUGACUUGACUCCUUUGUGAUACUGCAGGUUUAGUCCUGGACCAGCCGCUGUUAGCUAGCUAGCCCUGCCUUUGUGUGUGUGUGCGUGCGCGGUUUCAGUGCACAAGAGUGGCCUUAAAUUCAGUAAUAAUAAACGUGUUAUUGCAAAGA